UGCUUUCCACUGUCUUAGCAUACAUUUCCACCUCAAAGUGAGAAGUUAAGGUAUCUUGGUAUAGUAUUCAAUAAAAAAAUGACAGAACGGGGUGUGAGAUGGCCAGACUGGUUGAUGCUUAUUAGCAAUAAUGAGAGCAUUGCACUCAACUCUCAAUAUACUGGUCUAUCUAGAUUUCAUCACUUGCUCUGAUUCAAACCAGACAGAAAGAGUUUGUGGAUUUAAGAAGCUGAAAUUAUUCUGUAAAGUUACUGGGCUCUGCCUUUAAAAAAGUAGGUGUCUGUCAUUCCAGAGGUGCACUUAGCAGAACCACUGCUCUUCUCAUUGAAAGGCUUCAGCUGACGUUGAAAAGAUUUAAGUAAACACAAGCAACAGGGUUUAGAACUUCUGACAAUAAUGAGUUCAGGGUUGCAAGGAAGAAUUUUAAAAAAAUAUAGAACAAUUGAUGAAUGCUUAACAUUCAACCAUUUAUCAGCAGGCAUCAUUAGGACUGCUUAUCCACAGAAAAUGGAAAGAACAUCCUUAGGUUCAUUACUUAAAGAUGUUAAACAGAAAAAAAACUCACUAUUUUUGCACCUACCUGGUUAGAGGCUGAUCAUUUGCAUGAACCAACCACAUGCCUGCUUUCCUUGCACAUCUAUUUUUAUUGUACUGCCUUCCAAAACACAACGUGAAAAGGUAUUUCCAGUCUGCUUGAUGAACAGCAACACCUGUUAGAGAAACCCACUCGUUUGGCAGGGAAAGCAUAGCAGCAUGGACUGAGUUAUGGUUGGCUUCAUUCAUUACAAAGCAACCGCAGAAAACAGGUGCCACAUUUUCUAGCUUUUGAUUAUUUCUCACAAUAAAACAGUUCAAAUUGUGCUUUUUUUCUCUUUAUAACCUCUUGGGUUAUUUUCAAUUGUGAGGGCAGGAAUUUUUUAUAUUGGAAAUUAUACCUUAACAAACAGUUCUGUAUUAUGUAAUCAAAACUCCAGUUUGCUGCAAUGGAUGUGAAUAUAGGUGGCAAAAAAUAGAGAUGGAGACUCAAGUCGAAAACUUGCUUCUGAAUGGCACUCAGACAAAACCAAACACUUCAGACUAAAUUACACUUGAGUUCUCAAGACAUAAGUCUCAUUAACAAUAUAAUGUAAUCAAAGUAGCAAGUAAGCUACUUAUCUGAAGGCAUGGGUUAACCCAUGCCUUCAGAUAAGUAGCGUAAAAAAAAAAUACAAUUAACCUCUAAUGUCACGAUUUAUCUACUUUAGUUAUAUUUGACUGACUUAGAGUAUUGUUGCUUUGUCUGUUAUAUUCUGUCAAUACAAUUAUCCAGAUGGCCUGUUAGUUACUUAAAGGUAUAGAGGAGGAUGUUAUUUUUCCGGGUGGAUCACCUAAUAAGGUGGUCCUCCUAAUUCUCAAUUAUUCUGGUGAAAUGUUUACGUAAGGCUGUUGACAUGCUCAUCCCCAGUUAGCUAUCCUUUUCUGCGUCUGUUGGGCCCACAGGAUUGUUUGCUGAGCUGUGUUAGGGUUUCUCUUACCUUUCCUCCUCAGAGUCUCCAGCCCAGAAAAGCCUCCAGCUGGUUCCAAUUGGACGCAAUCAGGGAGCAGUAUUUAGAGGAGUGGAUUUCCUGGGACGGACGCCAGUCGGUUAAUUUCCACACAGUGAAGCCUUGCAGUCUCCAAGCCGGUUCUCCACUCAGUCCUCCUGGAUCCAUCCUUGAUUGCUCACCUGCCUGUCCACCCUCUGGAGCUCUCAAGCCAAAGCCUGGCACCUCAGCCAAACUCAAUCUCUGUGGGCUCAUCCAACCUCCCCUCCAUCUGCUCCGCUCUCCAAGGAUCUUUCCUGACUAAGCCGCUGUUUCCCGAACCUCUACGCCGGUCCAAACAAUCUCUCUGUUAAACUUCUCAAUAAACAUUCUAAACCGC